AAUUUUGCACAGUGGCAGUAUCUUAGCCAAUGAGGUUUAUCUGAGGUGCAGUUAUUGCUAAUUGAAAAUUUUUCCCAAUACCCCACCAUGACGUCUUGAAAUAUAGUUGGCAUUGGCAAAUA
rnacentral:snRNA from 1 species